UAUUGCACAAUGGGCGCAAGCCUGAUGCAGCAACGCCGCGUGAGGGAUGACGGCCUUCGGUGUGUAAACCUCUUUUAGUAGGGAAGAAGCGAAAGUGACGGUACCUGCAGACAAAGCACCGGCUAACUACGUGCCAGCAGCCGCGGUAAUACGUAGGGUGCAAGCGUUGUCCGGAAUUAUUGGGCGUAAAGAGCUCGUAGGCGGUUUGUCGCGUCUGCUGUGAAAUCCCGAGGCUCAACCUCGGGCCUGCAGUGGGUACGGGCAGACUAGAGUGCGGUAGGGGAGAAUGGAACUCCUGGUGUAGAGGUGGAAUGCGCAGAUAUCAGGAAGAACACCGAUGGCGAAGGCAGUUCUCUGGGCCGUAACUGACGCUGAGGAGCGAAAGCGUGGGGAGCGAACAG
rnacentral:rRNA from 1 species